UACGGGGGGAGCAAGCGUUGUUCGGAUUUACUGGGCGUAAAGGGCGCGUAGGCGGCCACUGCAAGUCGGUUGUGAAAUCUCCGGGCUUAACCCGGAAAGGUCAAUCGAUACUGCAGGGCUAGAGUGCAGAAGGGGCAACUGGAAUUCUCGGUGUAGCGGUGAAAUGCGUAGAUAUCGAGAGGAACACCUGCGGCGAAGGCGGGUUGCUGGGCUGACACUGACGCUGAAGCGCGAAAGCGUGGGGAGCGAACAGG
rnacentral:rRNA from 1 species